rnacentral:rRNA from 1 species
CACUGCCGAGAAAAGCCUCUAGAUAGAAAAUAGGUGCCCGUACCGCAAACCGACACAGGUAGUCAAGAUGAGAAUUCUAAGGUGAGCGAGCGAACUCUCGUUAAGGAACUCGGCAAAAUGACCCCGUAACUUCGGGAGAAGGGGUGCUCUUUAGGGUUAACGCCCAGAAGAGCCGCAGUGAAUAGGCCCAAGCGACUGUUUAUCAAAAACACAGGUCUCUGCUAAACCGUAAGGUGAUGUAUAGGGGCUGACGCCUGCCCGGUGCUGGAAGGUUAAGAGGAGUGGUUAGCUUCUGCGAAGCUACGAAUCGAAGCCCCAGUAAACGGCGGCCGUAACUAUAACGGUCCUAAGGUAGCGAAAUUCCUUGUCGGGUAAGUUCCGACCCGCACGAAAGGCGUAACGAUUUGGGCACUGUCUCAACGAGAGACUCGGUGAAAUCAUAGUACCUGUGAAGAUGCAGGUUACCCGCGACAGGACGGAAAGACCCCGUGGAGCUUUACUGUAGCCUGAUAUUGAAAUUCGGCACAGCUUGUACAGGAUAGGUAGGAGCCUUUGAAACGUGAGCGCUAGCUUACGUGGAGGCGCUGGUGGGAUACUACCCUAGCUGUGUUGGCUUUCUAACCCGCACCACUUAUCGUGGUGGGAGACAGUGUCAGGCGGGCAGUUUGACUGGGGCGGUCGCCUCCUAAAAGGUAACGGAGGCGCUCAAAGGUUCCCUCAGAAUGGUUGGAAAUCAUUCAUAGAGUGUAAAGGCAUAAGGGAGCUUGACUGCGAGACCUACAAGUCGAGCAGGGUCGAAAGACGGACUUAGUGAUCCGGUGGUUCCGCAUGGAAGGGCCAUCGCUCAACGGAUAAAAGCUACCCCGGGGAUAACAGGCUUAUCUCCCCCAAGAGUUCACAUCGACGGGGAGGUUUGGCACCUCGAUGUCGGCUCAUCGCAUCCUGGGGCUGUAGUCGGUCCCAAGGGUUGGGCUGUUCGCCCAUUAAAGCGGUACGCGAGCUGGGUUCAGA